rnacentral:lncRNA from 1 species
AUAUGCAAUGAUGUAUAUUAUAUGUCCCGCUGGUUGUUAAAAAAAAAGAAAUCGAAAAUUAACGUGGUAACCCUGACAAUUUGAAAAAUGUUUGAGAGGAGAGCAGUCUGGCUGUCAUGACAUUUUAUUAGAUUAGCUGUGAGCAGCUCUGAGAGAGUCAGAAAGGAAGUAAACAGAAAUCACACCCCGUAUAUUAAAAGAACAUGGGGAAAAAAUUACUCCGAUGAAUAUCCUCAAUUCAAAUCUGAGUCCAACGAGGACUAACACCUAUAACUCCUCAACAAAUCCUGAUUGUUACUUUAAUUCUUAAAUGUUCAAUUCGACUUUGUGUCUAUCAAUGGUGUAUAAGAUAAAAAGCUCGCCAAAUGUUUAAAUAAGAUGAAAAUGAAAAUGCGUGAAUCAUUGGUGUUUUUUCCGAUAAUGAUAAUGCUCUGAAUAAAGGCAUGGAGAGAGUUGUUCCUAUGGACAAACAAACUGUUGUUUAUCUAUUGGAUCCCAAAUCAUCGACACGUUGUUAUUGGUUAACUUUUGUUCAUAUAAUUAAUGAGUUAAGGGUUAAUUACUAUAUCUUAAAAUUGUUCAAUAUUAUAUAUUAUUUCUUCCCAAUUACAAAAAAAAAUAUUGCCAAAAAUCAAUUUUAUGAAGAACAUCAAAAAUAACUUUAAUUGUCUUCAUUGAGACCAAUAAAAUUAUAAAUACGUUAUUUAAAUUUAUAUUCAUGUAACAUAACAUAAAUAAAAUUGUUUACUGUAGUAGUAAAAAACAGAUCUUAUAUUAA